rnacentral:rRNA from 1 species
AGUCGAGCGGACGACACUAACAAUCCUUCGGGUGCGUUAAUGGNCGNCNAGNGGCGGACGGGUGAGUAAUGCCUAGGAAAUUGCCUUGAUGUGGGGGAUAACCAUUGGAAACGAUGGCUAAUACCGCAUAAUGCCUACGGGCCAAAGAGGGGGACCUUCGGGCCUCUCGCGUCAAGAUAUGCCUAGGUGGGAUUAGCUAGUUGGUGAGGUAAUGGCUCACCAAGGCGACGAUCCCUAGCUGGUCUGAGAGGAUGAUCAGCCACACUGGAACUGAGACACGGUCCAGACUCCUACGGGAGGCAGCAGUGGGGAAUAUUGCACAAUGGGCGAAAGCCUGAUGCAGCCAUGCCGCGUGUAUGAAGAAGGCCUUCGGGUUGUAAAGUACUUUCAGUUGUGAGGAAGGGGGNANNGUUAAUANCNNNAUCUCUUGACGUUAGCAACAGAAGAAGCACCGGCUAACUCCGUGCCAGCAGCCGCGGUAAUACGGAGGGUGCGAGCGUUAAUCGGAAUUACUGGGCGUAAAGCGCAUGCAGGUGGUUCAUUAAGUCAGAUGUGAAAGCCCGGGGCUCAACCUCGGAACUGCAUUUGAAACUGGUGAACUAGAGUACUGUAGAGGGGGGUAGAAUUUCAGGUGUAGCGGUGAAAUGCGUAGAGAUCUGANNGAAUACCAGUGNCGAAGGCGGCCCCCUGGACAGAUACUGACACUCANAUGCGAAAGCGUGGGGAGCAAACAGGAUUAGAUACCCUNNNAGUCCACGCCGNAAACGAUGUCUACUUGG